GUACUUAUCUGGCAAGGACACCAUGGUCACAAAGGUGGUAUUCCCAAGACAAGCUUAUUCAUUGCACUCCGAUGUAAUUUCCCCAAAUGCAGGAAACUUGCCUGCACAGUUUGUGGUAGUGGGGCACUGUGUCCACGCUAUCUCCUG
rnacentral:snRNA from 1 species